UACGAGAGGGGCAAGCGUUAUUCGGAAUGAUUGGGCGUAAAGAGCACGUAGACGGUUUUUCUAUUUUGUAUUUGAAAGCUCAAAGCUUAACUUUGAGAGAGAAUAAUUGAAAAUAAAAAACUUGAGUGAGUGAAAGGAGAAUGGAAUUCCUAAGGGAGAGGUAAAAUUUGUUGAUCUUAGGAGGAACACCAAAAGCGAAAGCAAUUCUCUAGCACUCGACUGACGUUGAGGUGCGAAAGCGUGGGGAUCAAAAGGG
rnacentral:rRNA from 1 species